ACUGACUGCGUUUUGGAGAUGAGGGAACAGACCCUGUGGACCUUGGCCUCACUUGACCUGUUUGCUAAAGGCCAUGCAUGGAGCAGUGACCAGAAUCCAGGAGUUGUACAUUCAGGCGCAUUGGCUAGCCGAGAUCAAUAAACCACUGGCAGAGGAUGGGAGAGUCUGAGAAAGAAGAAACGUAAAAGGAAAGGCUAUGUGAGCACCCAGCAAGAAGAUGACCACCUGCCAGCCGGGAAGAGAACCCUCACCAGGAACCGACUCAAGUCAGAACCUUGAUCUUGGACUUCCAGCCUCCAGAACUGUGGCAUUUUGUUACGGCGUCCGAGCAGACUAAGACACCAUCCCCCCGCCUGUUUAGCUGGGUGAUUCCAUAAUGCAAGUUUCCCAUGAGCACCUCAAAAUCGUUCUCCCUCCUCCUCUCGUCGGUGGGCAGGAUCUGACAAUUGUUUGGAGUCAAGUGACGAUAUCCCCUGGAUAGUGAAAAUAGUUAUCAUGCAUUUUGCACUCACUGUGUGCCAGGUCCUUUUCCAUGUGUGAAUUUAUUUAAUAAUUACAACGACCCUGUAAAGUGGGUGCUAUUACUAUUACAUCAUUUUACAGAAAAGGAAACUGAGGCAUCGGGGAGUUAAGUAGCUAAGUAAGAUGACUCAACUACAUAUUGGGAAGAGGAUUCCAACCCAAGUAGUCUGGUUUCAGGUCUGUACCUUUAACUACGCUGUGAUACCCUACCUCUAAGUUUAAGCAAUAGCUCGCAUUUAUUGUGCCCUUGUUUUGGGCCAGACUCUACGCAUCUUAUAUGAAUCCAUGUAUUUAAUUAUCUUAUCAACUCUAUGAAAUAGGUACUAUUUUGCAUACGAGAAAAUGGAAGCGCAGAGAGGUUAAGUGAUGAGCUUAAGGUCACAUAAGGUGAUUACUUUUACAGGUAGACUCCUUGGCAGUCAAGCCGGGCACCCUUGCUCCAGACACUGCACUCUUUUCUAGAAGGCACACAGAUGAUCAAAGACAAGCACUGGCCCUAUUUUAUCUCUGCUUCUACUUUCAACCUCAAGCAAGGUGCUUGCAACACUGGAGAAAAAUCAAUAAAUGGUUGUCAAAGGCCUCAUUUUUUAAAACUGGGAUACAAAAAUCAUUUCUAUAAAUGAAAGCUUAGUUAUGUGAUGGAGACGACAUACUCCAAUUAAUGGGAAGAAGAUGAACGAUUUGAUUCAU